rnacentral:rRNA from 1 species
UACGUAGGUGACAAGCGUUGUCCGGGAUUUACUGGGCGUAAAGCGCACGUAGGCGGAUCGAUCAGUCAGGGGUGAAAUCCCAGAGCUCAACUCUGGAACUGCCUUUGAUACUGUCGAUCUAGAGUAUGGAAGAGGUGAGUGGAAUUCCGAGUGUAGAGGUGAAAUUCGUAGAUAUUCGGAGGAACACCAGUGGCGAAGGCGGCUCACUGGUGCCAUUACUGACGCUGAGGUGCGAAAGCGUGGGGAGCAAACAGG